AACAUUGCUAAUUUGUUUUUACCUCAGAACUCCCUUUCCUUUAUGUAAAUUCAAAAGAUGAAUUACGGGAUUUGUAACUUUUUUUAGGUUGUACAGGAAGCCAUAUCAUAUAUGUACCAGCUGAACCCUGCAGAGGUGAAGCCAAUGUCAGCAGUAUCACCUCCUUUCCAAACAGUUCAGUAGCCUCUCAACAAACAAACAGCUGGGGUCACUCCACCUACCAGCACUCCCACCCAGCAGCAAUGAGUGACUGGUUCUUCCAGUUUCUUGCAAGCCAGAAAUAAGUUGCAGAUACAUGAAAAGAAGUCUGCUGUGGAUUUUGCUGGACAUGGCCAUUGAAUACAGUUGCUCAGGUGAAGAAGUCGAAGGUGAAGAAAAUGCAUGGAGCAGAUUUAACUGAACUGGAACUUCACUUGAGAUAACUGCUAAUAUUGCAAACUUUAUGAAAUUAUUAUAAGUAGUAGCACUCAAUAAACAUAAACAGCUAAA